ACAAGCGGUGGAUGAUGUGGUUUAAUUCGAUGCAACGCGAAAACCUUACCACCUUUGACAUGUACGGAACCCUUUAGAGAUAGAGGGUGCUCGAAAGAGAGCCGUAACACAGGUGCUGCAUGGCUGUCGUCAGCUCGUGUCGUGAGAUGUUGGGUUAAGUCCCGCAACGAGCGCAACCCUUGUCAUUAGUUGCUACAUUCAGUUGGGCACUCUAAUGAGACUGCCGGUGACAAGCCGGAGGAAGGUGGGGAUGACGUCAAGUCCUCAUGGCCCUUACAUCCCGGGCUACACACGUGCUACAAUGGCAGGUACAGAGGGCUGCGAAGCCGCGAGGUGGAGCGAAUCCCAGAAAACCAGUCUCAGUCCGGAUUGAAGUCUGCAACUCGACUUCAUGAAGGCGGAAUCGCUAGUAACCGCGAAUCAGCAGGUCGCGGUGAAUACGUUCCCGGGCCUU
rnacentral:rRNA from 1 species